rnacentral:rRNA from 1 species
ACGAACGCUGGCGGCGUGGAUUAGGCAUGCAAGUCGAACGUGAAAGGGGCUUCGGCCCUGAGUAAAGUGGCAAACGGGUGAGUAACGCGUGGAGAACCUGCCCGGAAGUGGGGGAUAACACUCCUAACGGGGUGCUAAUACCGCAUGUGUCUACGUGAGCGCAUGCUCGUGUAGGUGAAGGUGGCCUCUACUUGUAAGCUACCGCUUCCGGAUGGCUCUGCGUCCCAUUAGCUUGUUGGCGAGGUAACGGCUCACCAAGGCGACGAUGGGUAGCUGGUCUGAGAGGAUGGUCAGCCACACUGGGACUGAGAUACGGCCCAGACUCCUACGGGAGGCAGCAGUCGAGAGGCUUCCGCAAUGGGGGAAACCCUGACGGAGCGACGCCGCGUGGGCGAUGAAGGCCUUCGGGUUGUAAAGCCCUUUCAGAUGGGAAGAAAGGUCGGAGGGUGAACAAUUCUCCGGCUGUGACGGUACCGUCAGAAGAAGCUCCGGCUAACUCCGUGCCAGCAGCCGCGGUAAUACGGGGGGAGCAAGCGUUGUUCGGAUUCAUUGGGCGUAAAGGGCGCGUAGGCGGCCUGGCAAGUCUGACGUGAAAUGUACCGGUUCAACCGGGGCGCUGUGUCGGAAACUGCCUGGCUUGAGGUCGAGGGAGGAAGGUGGAAUUCCUGGUGUAGCGGUGAAAUGCGUAGAUAUCAGGAGGAACACCCGUGGCGAAGGCGGCCUUCUAUCUCGAUUCUGACGCUAAAGCGCGAAAGCUAGGGGAGCAAACGGGAUUAGAUACCCCGGUAGUCCUAGCCGUAAACGAUGGGCACUAGGUGUGGGAGGUAUCGACCCCUUCCGUGCCGCAGCUAACGCAUUAAGUGCCCCGCCUGGGGAGUACGGCCGCAAGGUUGAAACUCAAAGGAAUUGACGGGGGCCCGCACAAGCGGUGGAGCAUGUGGUUUAAUUCGAGGCAACGCGAAGAACCUUACCAGCCCUUGACUUCCCGAUCGGGGCUCCGGAGACGGAGCUCUUCAAUUGGUCGGUGACAGGUGCUGCAUGGCUGUCGUCAGCUCGUGUCGUGAGAUGUUGGGUUAAGUCCCGCAACGAGCGCAACCCUUGUCCAUUAGUUGCCAUCACUUAUGUGGGAACUCUAAGGAGACUGCCGGUGACUAAGCCGGAGGAAGGUGGGGAUGACGUCAAGUCAUCAUGGCCCUUACGGGCCAGGGCUACACACGUGCUACAAUGGUCGGUGACAGAUGGUGCAGCAAUACCGCGAGGAUGGAGCCUAAUCCCAGAAAAGCCGAUCUCAGUCCGGAUCGUAGUCUGCAACUCGAGCGCAUGAAGUCGGAAUCGCUAGUAAUCGCAGGAUCAGCUAUGCUGCGGUGAAUACGUUCCCGGGCCUUGUACACACCGCCCGUCACACCAUGGGAGUGAGUUGCUACCAGAAGCCGUUAGGCUAACCGCAAGGGAGGACAGACGGCCACGGUAGGGUUCAGGACUGGGGUG